rnacentral:rRNA from 1 species
GAUGAACGCUGGCGGCGUGCCUAAUACAUGCAAGUCGAGCGAACCACUUCGGUGGUGAGCGGCGAACGGGUGAGUAACACGUAGGUUAUCUGCCCAUCAGACGGGGACAACGAUUGGAAACGAUCGCUAAUACCGGAUAGGACGAAAGUUUAAAGGUGCUUCGGCACCACUGAUGGAUGAGCCUGCGGCGCAUUAGCUAGUUGGUAGGGUAAAGGCCUACCAAGGCGACGAUGCGUAGCCGACCUGAGAGGGUGAACGGCCACACUGGGACUGAGACACGGCCCAGACUCCUGCGGGAGGCAGCAGUAGGGAAUCUUCGGCAAUGGGCGAAAGCCUGACCGAGCAACGCCGCGUGAAUGAUGAAGGCCUUCGGGUUGUAAAAUUCUGUUAUAAGGGGAGAAUGGCUCUAGUAGGAAAUGGCUAGAAUGUGACGGUACCUUAUGAGAAAGCCACGGCUAACUACGUGCCAGCCGCCGCAGUAAUAC